GACGAACCACACGAACGUUAUUCGGAAUCACUGGGCUUAAAGGGUGCGUAGGCUGCGCAGCAAGUUGGGUGUGAAAUCCCUCGGCUCAACCGAGGAACUGCGCCCAAAACUGCUGUGCUCGAGGGAGACAGAGGUGAGCGGAACUUAGGGUGGAGCGGUGAAAUGCGUUGAUAUCCUAAAGGAACACCCGUGGCGAAAGCGGCUCACUGGGUCUCUUCUGACGCUGAGGCACGAAAGCUAGGGUAGCGAACGGGG
rnacentral:rRNA from 1 species